GACGAACGCUGGCGGCGUGCUUAACACAUGCAAGUCGAACGAAGAGCGAUGGAAGCUUGCUUCUAUCAAUCUUAGUGGCGAACGGGUGAGUAACGCGUAAUCAACCUGCCCUUCAGAGGGGGACAACAGUUGGAAACGACUGCUAAUACCGCAUACGAUCUAAUCUCGGCAUCGAGGAUAGAUGAAAGGUGGCCUCUACAUGUAAGCUAUCACUGAAGGAGGGGAUUGCGUCUGAUUAGCUAGUUGGAGGGGUAACGGCCCACCAAGGCGAUGAUCAGUAGCCGGUCUGAGAGGAUGAACGGCCACAUUGGGACUGAGACACGGCCCAGACUCCUACGGGAGGCAGCAGUGGGGAAUCUUCCGCAAUGGACGAAAGUCUGACGGAGCAACGCCGCGUGAGUGAUGACGGCCUUCGGGUUGUAAAGCUCUGUUAAUCGGGACGAAAGGCCUUCUUGCGAACAGUUAGAAGGAUAGACG
rnacentral:rRNA from 1 species